GACGUAGGUGGCGAACGUUAUCCGGAAUUAUUGGGCGUAAAGGGUGCGUAGGCGGCAUGAUAAGUUAUUGGUGGUAAAUCGAGGCUCAACCUCGUGGAAACUGAUAAUACUGUUUUGCUUGAGUACAGGAGAGGUUAACGGAACUCCAUGUGGAACGGUAAAAUGUGUAGAUAUAUGGAAGAACAUCAAUAACGGCGAAGGCAGUUAACUAUUCUGUUACUGACGUUGAGGCACGAAAGCGUGGG
rnacentral:rRNA from 1 species